rnacentral:rRNA from 1 species
AUAGGGGACUCGAGUGCCAGGUUACAAAUCUGGCUGUCGUGAUGCCUAAGAAGCAUUGCAUAGCAAGGGCCGGGCAAGACCGGUGCCAGCCGCCGCGGUAACACCGGCGGCUCGAGUGGUAACCGUUAUUAUUGGGUCUAAAGGGUCUGUAGCCGGCCGGGUAAGUCUCUUGGGAAAUCUGGCAGCUUAACUGUCAGGCUUUCGGGAGAUACUGUCUGGCUCGAGGCCGGGAGAGGUGAGAGGUACUUCAGGGGUAGGGGUGAAAUCUUGUAAUCCUUGAAGGACCACCAGUGGCGAAGGCGUCUCACCAGAACGGACCUGACGGCAAGGGACGAAAGCUAGGGGCACGAACCGGAUUAGAUACCCGGGUAGUCCUAGCCGUAAACGAUACUCGCUAGGUGUCGGCAACGGUGCGACCGUUGUCGGUGCCGUAGGGAAGCCGUGAAGCGAGCCACCUGGGAAGUACGGCCGCAAGGCUGAAACUUAAAGGAAUUGGCGGGGGAGCACCACAACGGGUGGAGCUUGCGGUUUAGUUGGAUUCAACGCCGGAAAUCUUACCGGGACCGACAGCAAUAUGAAGGCCAGGCUGAAGACUUUGCCGGAUUAGCUGAGAGGUGGUGCAUGGCCGUCGUCAGUUCGUACUGUGAAGCAUCCUGUUAAGUCAGGCAACGAGCGAGACCCACGCCCACAGUUGCCAGCGUACUCUCCGGAGUGACGGGUACACUAUGGG